UAUGAUUAUGAUUAUUAGUAGUUAUUAUUCUCAUUAUUAUUAUUAGUUAUUAGUUAUUAGUUAUUAUUGUUAAUAAAAUUAAUAAUAUGAAUGCAUUGUAAAAGGGAAAUGAAAAAAACGCAAAAGAGUAAAGGAACUUGACAAAGAAGAUGGCUUGUCAACUAACUUAAAUCAAUUGAUGCUCGGAUUGAUGUAAUUGGAAGAAAAACAGAGCGGUUUCACUUUUUUUUCGUAAAUGAAACUUUUUUGUAGCGAGUGUGUACAAAAAGAAAUUAUUUAAAGGUACGCUUAGAAAAGAUAUGAUUGAACCAUGAAUUGAGUACGGAGUCGGGUACGACGAAAAGAAAUACAAGUUUAGAAUUUAAGGCCAGUGUUUUAUCCUAUAAACGCCGUGUACUCCUCUCAUACCAUGAAACUCAAUUCGCUGCGUCUCUUAACACAUAUUCUGAAUAUUACACUAAUACAUAUGUAUAUACAUAAAGAUUUAUUAUUCAUAGCUUAUAGCUAUACAAUGUAUACCUGCAUACACUACUGACUUAAGCCCGGUGCACACGACGCUUGUUUUGCUGCUGGAUUGCUUGCUAGAUUUGCCGCUGGGUUCAAAGUUGGUUGCGGUGCUGAGUGCUAUGAUGUCUUCCCUGCGAGAUUGGCUUCACACGUUGCUUUCCGCUAUGCGCGUUGACUGUGCUGUGGUUAUUAAAUUGAUUCCUUAAGCUGUGGAAUUUGUUUGAACAGUCUUUUGCCGUCAAACACUGCUCUUCUUUGUAUGCGUCUAUUAGGACGUUUAUUUGCUCCGAAGACCACUUUUGAGCCCUUGAUUAAUAUUUCAAUUAACGAAGAACCGCGAAAAAUAUUAUGAUCUUUUCACUUUACGAGUAUCACAGAGUGUAAACAUUCCUGUUGUAAGCGGCCAAUCCGGGCACAGGGAUUCACCAGAAAUGUUUACAAUGGAAAGCUGCCAUCAAAGAAAAUAGCACACGAUCUAUCACCGAAGACUAGCACGCGAGCACGCUUCGGAGCCAGCAGUGACGUCACUUUCUCGCCGCGCAGCCAGCAGAGUAGCUAUCCUGGGUCCUCGCAAGCAAUCCAGCAGCAAAACAAGCGUCGUGUGCACCGGGCUUUAUUAUAGGUAAAUCACUAGUAGGUAUAUUUCAAUCAUUACAACACCAUCAUCGCAAUCAUCAUCAUUAUGUAAUGGCCAUUAUUAAUUGAUAGCUCUUUAUUUGCCUCCUUCAAUUAUCGUGUAUCAAUAUUAUUGCUAUGAUCGUUAUUAUUGUUCUUUGUUGUUGGCUUGAUUAUCAUUACUAUAAUCGUUAUUUUAUCAUUAUCAUUGUUAUCAUUAUUAUUAUUUCUAUUAUUGAUUUCAUUGCAACAAUUUGCGAAAGAACUUCUUUCCUCUUGGUGUUGUAUUGCAUUACCGAUUUCUUUUGAAAAAAAGUGUUUCGUAGAUAUCACAUGGAUGAAUUUUUAUCGUCCGCGGUAUUCAUAAAUAUUUGAGGAGGAAAAAAGACGCGUAAUAAAAAAAAAAAAGUGUGGGAAAAUAUACAUUAUACAUAGAUAAACGUACAAGAAAUGUGAACACAGUGCUCUCUAAACAAUUGAAAUUUCACAAAGUCAGCAAUCACACAAAGCUGCCGAAGGGGAAGAGUGCCAAAAUAAUGACAUAGGACUCCUGGAGAAUCUUCUCCUUACUUUCGACAGAAAGUGUAUUCGAACACCCGCUAGUUUGCAAUUCAGAAAUACACUAUCAUCAUAGAUAUAUUGAACUAUGCAUUCACUCACGCAUGAGAAAUAAUCACGUAUGAAUAACUGAUCAAGUCCUCAUGUCUUGUACUUAUUGGAAUUACUAAAGCAAUAUUGUAAUAUUAAUUGAACAUACACCUUGUAAAUGAUAUUCAAACAUUUCAAAUAUAGUUAUAAAUAUUUCGAAAGAAUAAUUGGUGAAUGUACCCUACCAGCAUUGCUCAUAAAUAAACGAACAGCUAUUUUCAAAUUAAA